GGAAAAGGAAGAGAAGUGUCAACAGUUCUUUGCUCCUGAGGAAGGAUCGAAGGCUUUUGACUAUUUUCAGAAGGUUGUGAAUGCAGCUCAGACGUGGUUCAGUCUCUUUGGCUGGCCAGAAGGACCCCAUUCUCUUUCUAUUCCUGAGACAAUAAGAAGGGAUGUGCAGAAAAUACAAUUCUAUUCAACAUCCUCACCACCCAAGAAAUUUUCCAGACAGUCUGAUUUUUCCAAAUAUAAUAAGACAAUUUAUGACGUGAUACUUCACUUGAGUGGAAAACUGCCACCUGGAAUUAACGCAGGCCAGUCGUUACCCGUGGAUAAUGUUGAAAGGGUGAUGCAACUCCAUUUGCAGCAUGCCUCACUUCUAGACUUUAUCACUGCUCAAGGUGGAUGCAUUUCUCAUGUGCUGC
rnacentral:lncRNA from 1 species